ACUUGUACUGUGAACUGCGAAUGGCUCAUUAAAUCAGUUAUCGUUUAUUUGAUAGUACCUUACUACAUGGAUACCUGUGGUAAUUCUAGAGCUAAUACAUGCUAAAAACCCCGACUUCAGGAAGGGGUGUAUUUAUUAGAUAAAAAACCAACGCCCUUCGGGGCUCCUUGGUGAAUCAUAAUAACUUAACGAAUCGCAUGGCCUUGCGCCGGCGAUGGUUCAUUCAAAUUUCUGCCCUAUCAACUUUCGAUGGUAGGAUAGUGGCCUACCAUGGUGGCAACGGGUAACGGGGAAUUAGGGUUCGAUUCCGGAGAGGGAGCCUGAGAAACGGCUACCACAUCCAAGGAAGGCAGCAGGCGCGCAAAUUACCCAAUCCCGAUACGGGGAGGUAGUGACAAUAAAUACUGAUACGGGGCUCUUUUGGGUCUCGUAAUUGGAAUGAGAACAAUUUAAAUCCCUUAACGAGGAACAAUUGGAGGGCAAGUCUGGUGCCAGCAGCCGCGGUAAUUCCAGCUCCAAUAGCGUAUAUUAAAGUUGUUGCAGUUAAAAAGCUCGUAGUUGAACCUUGGGUCUGGCUGACCGGUCCGCCUCACCGCGAGUACUGGUUCGGCUGGACCUUUCCUUCUGGGGAACCUCAUGGCCUUCACUGGCUGUGGGGGGAACCAGGACUUUUACUGUGAAAAAAUUAGAGUGUUCAAAGCAGGCCUUUGCUCGAAUACAUUAGCAUGGAAUAAUAGAAUAGGACGUGCGGUUCUAUUUUGUUGGUUUCUAGGACCGCCGUAAUGAUUAAUAGGGAUAGUCGGGGGCGUCAGUAUUCAGCUGUCAGAGGUGAAAUUCUUGGAUUUGCUGAAGACUAACUACUGCGAAAGCAUUCGCCAAGGAUGUUUUCAUUAAUCAGGGAACGAAAGUUAGGGGAUCGAAGACGAUCAGAUACCGUCGUAGUCUUAACCAUAAACUAUGCCGACUAGGGAUCGGACGGGAUUCUAUGAUGACCCGUUCGGCACCUUACGAGAAAUCAAAGUUUUU
rnacentral:rRNA from 1 species